rnacentral:ncRNA from 1 species
CGAAAAGGCAAACUCGCCGAAAGGUGAGGACGCAAAGCUAUGGGUCUAAGGUUUAACUAUGAUCGCCAAGCCGCCGA